GUAAGAGAAGAAGUCUGAGAAGUCAAAAGACUUGCAGAUUAUCUGACUAGGACACUCUGUGGAGGACUUUGAUACAAAUGGAUUGAUUUUUCAGUCUAGUGAUCUCUGUUCAUGGAACCUGAACAGUCUGCUGAAGCACCUGAUGUUUCGCCUUCCUGAAUGUCAUGUAAUACGAUUCAUUUUUUCCAGCUGAAAAUAAAUAGAAUUG
rnacentral:lncRNA from 1 species